rnacentral:ncRNA from 1 species
GAUAGAGGCGCGGGCUCCAUGAGUACCCCUUCCUAACGGCAGGACACCGGGGAGGAGGGGAAAGGGGAGACCGCCGAGGCUGUGUUCCGCUGCCUGGCGGGACAGGGCCGGGCCGCCGGAGAACAUCCGCCGGACUGUCACCCCCAAGGUGGAGCGCUGUC